CUUGGUCAUUUAGAGGAAGUAAAAGUCGUAACAAGGUUUCCGUAGGUGAACCUGCGGAAGGAUCAUUAACGAAUUUAAUAUCAUCUCUUUAUGUGAACUCUUAUUCUUUUAGAAUUUGAUGCUUCGGCUCUUGGAAUUUUCUAAGAGCCGGUAGAAAACUCAUUUAAACUUUAUGUCUAAACCUAAGAUUUUAAUAAAUUAAAACUUUCAACAACGGAUCUCUAGGUUCUCGCAUCGAUGAAGAACGCAGCGAAAUGCGAUACGUAUUGUGAAUUGCAGAAUUUUGUGAAUCAUCGAAUCUUUGAACGCACAUUGCACCUGGUGGUAUUCCGCCAGGUAUGCCUGUUUGAGCGUCAUUUCUCUCUCACUCCGGUGGUUUUGCUGUUUAUCAUUCUCUAGGGAAUGUGCAGUGAAAAGAAAUGGCAAGGCUCUAGUCUUCAAGAUAUGUUUUAGGUUCUACCAACUACAUUAUUUUCUAGACUAAUAAAGUCGGCUUGAUAACUUCUUUCAAUGUUGACCUCAAAUCAGGUAAGACUACCCGCUGAACUUAAGCAUAUCAAUAAGCGGAGGA
rnacentral:rRNA from 1 species